rnacentral:rRNA from 1 species
UGCUGUUUCGCUGACGAGUGGCGGACGGGUGAGUAAUGUCUGGGAAACUGCCUGAUGGAGGGGGAUAACUACUGGAAACGGUAGCUAAUACCGCAUAAUGUCGCAAGACCAAAGAGGGGGACCUUCGGGCCUCUUGCCAUCGGAUGUGCCCAGAUGGGAUUAGCUAGUAGGUGGGGUAACGGCUCACCUAGGCGACGAUCCCUAGCUGGUCUGAGAGGAUGACCAGCCACACUGGAACUGAGACACGGUCCAGACUCCUACGGGAGGCAGCAGUGGGGAAUAUUGCACAAUGGGCGCAAGCCUGAUGCAGCCAUGCCGCGUGUAUGAAGAAGGCCUUCGGGUUGUAAAGUACUUUCAGCGGGGAGGAAGGGAGUAAAGUUAAUACCUUUGCUCAUUGACGUUACCCGCAGAAGAAGCACCGGCUAACUCCGUGCCAGCAGCCGCGGUAAUACGGAGGGUGCAAGCGUUAAUCGGAAUUACUGGGCGUAAAGCGCACGCAGGCGGUUUGUUAAGUCAGAUGUGAAAUCCCCGGGCUCAACCUGGGAACUGCAUCUGAUACUGGCAAGCUUGAGUCUCGUAGAGGGGGGUAGAAUUCCAGGUGUAGCGGUGAAAUGCGUAGAGAUCUGGAGGAAUACCGGUGGCGAAGGCGGCCCCCUGGACGAAGACUGACGCUCAGGUGCGAAAGCGUGAGGAGCAAACAGGAUU